AGCGAACGCUGGCGGCAGGCUUAACACAUGCAAGUCGAGCGGGGAGAUGUAGCUUGCUACAUAUCCUAGCGGCGGACGGGUGAGUAAUGCUUAGGAAUCUGCCUAUUAGUGGGGGACAACAUUCCGAAAGGAAUGCUAAUACCGCAUACGCCCUACGGGGGAAAGCAGGGGAUCUUCGGACCUUGCGCUAAUAGAUGAGCCUAAGUCGGAUUAGCUAGUUGGUGGGGUAAAGGCCUACCAAGGCGACGAUCUGUAGCGGGUCUGAGAGGAUGAUCCGCCACACUGGGACUGAGACACGGCCCAGACUCCUACGGGAGGCAGCAGUGGGGAAUAUUGGACAAUGGGCGCAAGCCUGAUCCAGCCAUGCCGCGUGUGUGAAGAAGGCCUUUUGGUUGUAAAGCACUUUAAGCGAGGAGGAGGCUCCUUUAGUUAAUACCUAAAGAGAGUGGACGUUACUCGCAGAAUAAGCACCGGCUAACUCUGUGCCAGCAGCCGCCGUAAGAC
rnacentral:rRNA from 1 species